AAUAGAUACCCUGGUAGUCCAUGCCGUAAACGUUGGGCACUAGGUGUGGGGGACAUUCCACGUUUUCCGCGCCGUAGCUAACGCAUUAAGUGCCCCGCCUGGGGAGUACGGCCGCAAGGCUAAAACUCAAAGGAAUUGACGGGGGCCCGCACAAGCGGCGGAGCAUGCGGAUUAAUUCGAUGCAACGCGAAGAACCUUACCAAGGCUUGACAUGGACCGGAUCGCCGCAGAAAUGUGGUUUCUCCUUUUGGGGCCGGUUCACAGGUGGUGCAUGGUUGUCGUCAGCUCGUGUCGUGAGAUGUUGGGUUAAGUCCCGCAACGAGCGCAACCCUCGUUCCAUGUUGCCAGCGCGUAAUGGCGGGGACUCAUGGGAGACUGCCGGGGUCAACUCGGAGGAAGGUGGGGACGACGUCAAAUCAUCAUGCCCCUUAUGUCUUGGGCUUCACGCAUGCUACAAUGGCCGGUACAAAGGGUUGCGAUACUGUGAGGUGGAGCUAAUCCCAAAAGCCGGUCUCAGUUCGGAUUGGGGUCUGCAACUCGACCCC
rnacentral:rRNA from 1 species